GACAGAGAGCAUCUCAGGGUAGAAGGAGAAGAAAGAUGGUGGCAGUCAGCAAGUUUGAAGGAUAGUGGCACACACCAGUUCUGCUUGGAAGCUGAUGGUAAGUUCCAGGAAUCCUGUUUCUGUCUCCAGUAACAGAGUUAUAGGAGCUCACCUCCCCAUCAGGCUUCUUGUGUAAAGACCAGUUGACCUUGUCAGUGAAUGAGUGCCAGAGGAGUCCAAGAAGCUCACACACUGUAGGACAUACUUGGAAAAGAGAAUUGUCCUCUUAAAAUGAUGCACGAGGAGGCCGAGUGCCAGAUGCUUUGACAUUUGGGGAAGAAACAGUUUGCAGACAUCCUGGCCUGGAGCAAUGCCUGCUUCUGCCUGAAUACUCACUCACCCAGGACUGCA
rnacentral:lncRNA from 1 species